UUGACUUCCCGUUGAUGCAACCCUAAAUUAAGGAGUGAGGGUAAGGGAGAGGUUUCCCCCUCCCCCUGGUGUCUUAGUAUGCUGGGUAGCUAAUCACUAAGAGAAUCACCAGUAUGAUGAGCAGCUUCAUCAUAACCCUUUCCUUAUU
rnacentral:sRNA from 1 species